ACAAAACGAAUGAUUUUCAUCUCCUAUAUUUAUUCUUUCUAACUUUAGUUAACCUAGCUUUUUAGGAACGAAAUUAUUUCGUAUUAAAAAAAUAAAAGUUGUAGCUAUAUUUUUUUUCCUGACAUUGUAACACAACUCUACUAUAAUAAAUUGACGCUGAAAGUUUUACUUCAUUUUGUUUCUUUAUACCACUUAUUAUGAAUUAGGUUUAUGCACAAUCUCGUUCUUUUUUAACUUAUUAAAAAAAUUUUUUAGACGUGCAUAAUGUUUUCAGUGCGGAUGCCACCAUGACAUCAGACAAUGUGUCAAACUAAUGGAUGGCAGAGUAGACCAAGAAAAGGACCAAAGACAAAUGCGGAUGCCACCAUGACAUCAGACAAUGUGUCAAACUAAUGGAUGGCAGAGCAGACCAAGAAAAUGAAACAAAGUCAAAUGCGGAUGCCACCAUGACAUCAGACAAUGUGUCAAACUAAUGGAUGGCAGAGCAGACCAAGAAAAUGAGC